AAUAGAUGACGCCGUUGUUUUUUUCUCAUAUGUUUAAUCAUUCGUCUUAUUCAAAAAAUUUACGUAAUUAUAAUUUAUUUUGUUAUGAGUUGUUUUAUCACUCAUAGUACUUCAUGUAUGAUUUACAUCUUAUACAUUUGCAUAAAUUUUUUGAAUAAGAUGAAUGGUCAAACAUGUAAAAAAAAGUCAACAGCGUCAUCUAUU
rnacentral:pre_miRNA from 1 species